CGGAAUUAUUGGGCGUAAAGGGUGCGUAGGCGGUUUGGUAAGUCUCUUGUGAAAUCUAUGGGCUCAACUCAUAGUCUGCAAGGGAAACUGCCGGGCUUGAGUGUGGGAGAGGUGAGUGGAAUUUCCGGUGUAGCGGUGAAAUGCGUAGAUAUCGGAAGGAACACCUGUGGCGAAAGCGGCUCACUGGACCACAACUGACGCUGAUGCACGAAAGCUAGGGGAGCAAACAGG
rnacentral:rRNA from 1 species